ACCUCAAUAGCUCAGUUGGGAUGAGAGUGUCAGACUGAAGAUCUGAAGGCCGUGUGUUUGAUUCACAGUCAUGGCA
rnacentral:tRNA from 1 species